UCUCCUCACCACUAUAGUAGACAGCUGUAGGUAUCUCCUCACCACUAUAGUAGACAGCUGUAGGUAUCUCCUCACCACUACAGUAGACAGUAGACAGCUGUAGGUAUCUCCUCACCACUACAGUAGACAGCUGUAGGUA